GCGGGGGUAGCCAAGCUUGGCCAACGGCGCAGGACUUAAGAUCCUGUCCAGAAGUGGUUCAAGGGUUCGAAUCCCUUCCCCCGCA
rnacentral:tRNA from 1 species